CUAAAAUUUUAAUUGUUUUCUUACAUUGCCUUAUAUAGCUCAAACUCGCAUUGCUUAAAUUGCAGAUUUUGCUUAAAUCACCUAAAAUUGCUUAAAUUCGCAUUAUCUCGUUAUCGCCCCAGAGUAGGGCCUACUGUUGCCAUUGCUUUUUAGUCCCCAAUACUUCAGUGAGUCAUGCUUUGGAAAUGACAAUAAUUUUUUAUUACCCAACCCUUGAGUUGUUUUGUUUUUCAUUUACCCAACCU